rnacentral:rRNA from 1 species
AUGGCCGAGUACCACCUCAGCGCGCAGCUCCACGGCCACGAGGAUGAUGUUCGUGGGAUCUGUAUCUGUGGUGAUGUGGGGGUCGCAACAUCGUCAAGAGAUAAAACGGUGAGAUUCUGGAUGCAGGACCCGGAAAAGAAGCGCGAAUAUGUCCUCUCAAAAACACUUGUAGGACAUUCCAGUUUUGUUGGCCCGAUGGUUUGGGCCCCACCUUCUGAUCGCUUUCCGGAAGGAGCGAUUGUUUCUGGUGGCAUGGAUACGCUAGUAUUGCUAUGGAAUUUGCAUACAGGAGAAGUUGUUGGAACAAUGAGGGGUCACACCUCACAGGUGACUGGUCUUGCUAUCGACGACAACGGUGACAUUAUAUCUUCAUCGAUGGAUUGUACUUUAAGAAGGUGGAGAGAUGGCAAUGCUGUAGAAGUUUGGGAGGCUCAUAAAGUUGCAGUGCAAACUGUUCUAAAGCUGCCCUCGGGAGAACUAUUUACGGGUUCAAGUGAUUCCACCAUUAAACUUUGGAAAGGAAGGACUUGUCUACAUACAUUCUCUGGGCAUGCAGACACUGUUCGAUGUUUAGCACAGAUGCCAGGGAUGGGUAUACUUUCUGCAUCACAUGAUGGAACUAUAAAGUUAUGGGCAUUAACUGGCCAACCCCUGUUGGAGAUGAUUGGCCAUACCUCUCUUGUAUAUUCUGUGGAUGCGCAUUCAUCUGGUCUAAUUGCUAGUGGCAGUGAAGAUCGCUCUGUCAAGAUAUGGAAAGAUGGAAUCUGUGUUCAGAGCAUUGAACACCCAGGAUGUAUAUGGGAUGCUAAAUUUUUGGAUAAUGGAGAUGUUGUUACUGCAUGUUCUGACGGAGUUGUGAGGAUAUGGACAACCGACAAUAAUAGGUUCUGCAGUGAUGAGGAGCUUGCAACAUAUACCGAUAUUAUUUCUCAGUACACACUAAGCAGAAAGACUGUUGGUGGACUGAAGUUGAUGGAUCUACCAGGAGUUGAGGCACUGCAAGUUCAAGGAAACACUGAUGGGCAAACUCUAAUUGUUAGAGAGGGCGAUAACGGUGUUGCUUAUUCAUGGAAUUCAAAAGAGCUAAAAUGGGACAAAAUUGGUGAGGUGGUGGAUGGACCUGGGGAUGCUGCACAAGGUCAGGUUUAUGAUGGUGCUCACUAUGACUUCGUUUUUAAUGUUGACAUUGGAGAUGGAGAACCCAUUCGGAAACUGCCCUACAAUCGAUCAGAUGAUCCAUACGCAGUUGCAGACAAAUGGCUCCUGAAAGAAAAUCUUCCUUUGACAUAUCGCCAGCAAGUUGUAGAAUUCAUACUGCAAAAUUCUGGGCAGAACAAUUUUGUUCCAGAUCCAUCUUUCCGCGAUCCCUAUACUGGGGGUAAUGCAUAUGUACCCGGGCAACCGUCUUCUUCAAAUGGCAGUGCCCCAAAACAAACUUUCAAGCACAUACCGAAGAACGGAAUGUUACUAUUUGAGACGGCUCAGUUUGAGGGAAUCCUUAAGAAAAUUACAGAAUUCAGUGCAACACUUGCAUCUGACUCGGAACAAAAACAUCUAUCCUUGUCCGAGGCAGACUUUUCAAGAUUAGCUGCUAUAGUGAAAGUAUUGAAAAAUACAUCAUUUUAUCACACAAGCAAGCUUGCAGAUGCUGACAUCGUGUUGUUGCUAAAAAUAUUGAAGUCUUGGCCUUCACAGAUGAUGUUUCCAGUUAUUGAUUUUCUGAGGAUGUUUGUGUUGCAUCCUGACGGGGCUACUUUACUUCUUAAGACCAUUGAAAGUGGAAACGAUGUACUCAGGGAAACUUUCCGUAAGGCUGUAGCAAUACCUGUGCACUCACCGAAUGUGCUUACAAUCCUCAAAGCAGUUACUAACUUAUUUGACAACCCAUGCUUACACCAAUGGUUGAAAACCCAUUGUGCUGAGAUUAUUGAUUCUUUCUCGAGCUGCAAGCCGUCUUUUAGCAAGAACGCUCACUUGGCAUAUGCAACACUUUUACUGAACUAUUCUGUUCUUUCAAUUGAAUCGAAGGAUGAACAAAGUCAGGCACAAAUUCUUUCUGCGGCCCUUGAAAUUGCUGAAGACGAUGCCCAAGAUGCCGAUUCGAAAUACAGGGCCCUUGUUGCAAUCGGCUCUCUUAUGUUGAACGGCCUGGUCAAGUCCAUCGCCCUUGACCUCGACGUGAAGAGCGUCGCAAGCAGCGCAAAAGCUUCCAUGGACUUGAAGAUCGCCGAAGUCGGAGCUGAUAUCGAGCUGCUAACAAGAUGA